AUUGAACGCUGGCGGCAUGCUUUACACAUGCAAGUCGAACGGCAGCGCGGGCUUCGGCCUGGCGGCGAGUGGCGAACGGGUGAGUAAUGCAUCGGAACGUGCCCAGUAGUGGGGGAUAGCCCGGCGAAAGCCGGAUUAAUACCGCAUACGACCUGAGGGUGAAAGCGGGGGACCGAAAGGCCUCGCGCUAUUGGAGCGGCCGAUGUCGGAUUAGCUAGUUGGUGGGGUAAAGGCUUACCAAGGCGACGAUCCGUAGCUGGUCUGAGAGGACGACCAGCCACACUGGGACUGAGACACGGCCCAGACUCCUACGGGAGGCAGCAGUGGGGAAUUUUGGACAAUGGGGGCAACCCUGAUCCAGCCAUGCCGCGUGCGGGAAGAAGGCCUUCGAGUUGUAAACCGCUUUUGUUCGGGAAGAAAUCCUCUGGGCUAAUACCCCGGGGGGAUGACGGUACCGGAAGAAUAAGCACCGGCUAACUACGUG
rnacentral:rRNA from 1 species